rnacentral:rRNA from 1 species
GAGCCCGCACAAGCAGUGGAGUAUGUGGUUUAAUUCGAUGCAACGCGAAGAACCUUACCGGAGCUUGACAUCCACGGAAUGCCUUGUAAUGGAGGCAGUGCCCUUCGGGGAGCCGUGAGACAGGUGGUGCAUGGUUGUCGUCAGCUCGUGUCGUGAGAUGUUGGGUUAAGUCCCGCAACGAGCGCAACCCUUAUGAUUAGUUGCUACGCAAGAGCACUCUAAUCAGACUGCCGUUGACAAAACGGAGGAAGGUGGGGACGACGUCAAAUCAUCAUGCCCCUUAAGCCCCGGGCUACACACGUACUACAAUGGCGUAAACAGAGGGGAGCGAAGGCGCGAGCCGGAGCAAAUCCCAAAAAUACGCCCCAGUUCAGAUUGUAGGCUGCAACUCGCCUACAUGAAGUUGGAAUUGCUAGUAAUCGCGGAUCAGCAUGCCGCGGUGAAUACGUUCCCGGGCUUU